rnacentral:ncRNA from 1 species
UUAAACGGGAAACAGGAGGCGGACAUCCGCCCGGCCUGUGCUGUCCCCGCAACGGUACGCCGCCCGCGCGACGCGCUUUCAGCGCGCGCGCCCAUGCCGCCCACGAUGCCACUGCCCGCCUGCUUCGGGUGGGAAGGCCGCGGCCUGGCAAGCGGCCAGCCCGGAUACCG